ensembl:snRNA U2 U2 spliceosomal RNA
AUCGCUUCUCGGCCUUUUGGCUAAGAUAAGUGUAGUAUCUGUUCUUAUCAGUCGCCAUAUGGGACCUCCAGAAACCUGAUUUUAAGGAAGCUGGGAGAUCCCCCGUGGCUUGUGAUCCGAAUGGCCAUCGACCUGGUCGGUGCAGUACCUCCAGGACCGGUGCACCCUCU